AUGAUCAGCAACUCGCAGAUCUGGUUGUGUAGUCUGAAAUGGAUGGAUCAAAUCCUUGAUUCAGCCUCCAAGGAAAGUGGGAAGAGCUUUCUCAGGAAUGUUAACACCCAAGAAUCCCGUUCAUUGCCGGCAAACAGGAAAGACUUUAUUUGUCGACAUAAAUCAAUGGCAUUUACCGACAGCUUACUGUGGGAAGAGCACUGUACUUUUAACUACAGUUUCAGACGACUGAAACUCGUGGACCACAUUUCACUUCUCGAAAGGGAUCCUGUUUGUGUAAGCACUUACCUUAACAGCUCUUCCUGCCAGGAACCAGGAAUUUCCAAGCAAUGGUCAGGUUUCCUUGUGUUAUUUGAAUAUCUUUGAUGCUAGCGCUGGGUGUUUCUGAAUUCCUCCGUCAGGCUGGCCUAGCGGAUUUUAAAUGGAUCAAUGAAAAUAGUGUUCAAUAUAAAGAAAAGCCAACUCGGGUAAGAGCUGGUACAAAUGUCAAAAGGUAGAAGUGAAAGUGUCUUGUUUUUUUCUGUUGUAUUGUAUUCUCCCAAGCGCUUAGCCCUGCACAUAGUAAGUGCUCAAUAAAUACCACUGAUGGAUUGGUUUACUUAAUCUGCUGCUUCAUCUAUCACAAGUCUCAAAUAAAUUCACAAUAACCAUGGUUUUAUAAGUCAUUUUGAUGUCACACAGCUCCUUUCUUGAUUUCACUAGUUUCCACGUUUCUACUUCGGUGAGAAGCAGCAUGGCCUAGUGGAUAGAGCAUGGACCUGGGAGUCAGAAGGACCUGGAUUCUAAUCCCUGCUCUGCCACUUGUCUGCUGUGUGAUGUUGGACAAGUCACUUCACUUCUCUGGGCCUCAGGUACCUAAUCUGCAAAACAGGGAUUAAGACUGGGAGCCCAGUGUGGGAGAGGGACUGGGUCCACCACAGUCGCCUUGUACCUACCCCAGGCCUUAGCACAGUGUCUGGCACAUAGGAAGAUAGGACGACAAAUACUAGAAUUACUGUUAUUAUUAUAUCAAUUAGGUCAGACCCAAUCUCUGUCCUGUAUGGAGCUCACGGUCUAAGUAGGAGGGCAAACAGGUAGCCCCAUUUUACUGAGGAAACUGAGGUACAGAAAAGUUAAAAGUGACUUGCUCAAGGUCCCACAGCAGACUGCCAGCAAUGGUGAAGAUUUCUGACUAAGAAUAAGCACCUCGCACGGUGGACGUGGUGACCACGAGGGACAGUGUCAGCAGCGAUUCUGAACAUGGGAGGUGAAGACUGCAGCAGCCACCUAAGUGUCUUGUGUAGUAAUGCUGUCCCAGGCCUGGCACUCUGCUGCUGACACUUUGUGUUUUGAACUUACAAUUCUUGCGUCUCCUUGAUGAUAUGCGUCACUCCUAUUGUACUGACUCUACAUCUUUUUUUAGGAACUGCCCGAUCUUCUCCCAUCUGACCGCUCCCACACUGGUCCAAGUGCCUAUCAUAUCCCACCUCGCUAUCGAAUCGGUCUCUCGGCCG
rnacentral:lncRNA from 1 species